rnacentral:rRNA from 1 species
AUACGUAGGGGGCGAGCGUUAUCCGGAAUUAUUGGGCGUAAAGGGCGUGUAGGCGGAUAUUUAAGUCAGAUGUGAAAACCCGGGGCUCAACCGCGGGAUUGCAUCUGAAACUGGGUAUCUUGAGGACAGGAGAGGAAAGUGGAAUUCCUAGUGUAGCGGUGAAAUGCGUAGAUAUUAGGAGGAACACCAGUGGCGAAGGCGACUUUCUGGACUGUAACUGACGCUGAGGCGCGAAAGCGUGGGGAGCAAACAGGAUUAGAUACCCUGGUAGUCCACGCCGUAAACGAUGAGUGCUAGGUGUAGGGGGUAUCGACCCCUCCUGUGCCGCAGUUAACACAAUAAGCACUCCGCCUGGGGAGUACGGCCGCAAGGUUGAA